rnacentral:lncRNA from 1 species
UUCCAACAGGAGGCAAAGAAACCAAUGGGCCAGCACAAGCAUGCCAUAACUCUGAAUUCAUGAGCUUUCUUUCUCCUGUUGCAUUAUGAUACAAACUUUCAGGUAUGCAUAUUACAAAAUUUAAAGUUCAAUUUUAUACAUACAUAAGUCUGAUGCUUCAAUAUGCUAGAAAUUAAGGUCCUUUAUGUGCGAAUUUAUUCGCUUGACUACCAGCUAUGUAAACAUCAUUCAUGCAACCAAAAAAGGAAAUUUUCUUCUGUUUCACCUUUUUUUAUCCCCAACUGAAGGAUUAUUACAGUGAAACAUGUCUUAAGCAGAAAUACAAACAACUGGUAGAUAAAGAUAAGGAGUUAAAAACGGCAGCCCGGUACGGCGGUGCCCAAAGCAUCUAGCGAAAGCAGAAUCUGGGGAAGGGCUGUACCCCCAAAAGAUGUGAUGUAGAUAGCCUACCCUAAUACAAGCAUUAGUGGCUGCUUCCACGGCUCGAACCCGUGACUAUAGGUGUCACGGAGAUAGCUUUACCGUUGCUCCUUGGCUCCCUAUCAUAAAGAUAAGGAGUUCUGCAAGCCAAAUGAUUAUAAAACUUCAGUAAUACCAGGAACCUACGUGAAUAUCAUGUGACCCUCAUACAGUUGAUAUGUGUGACACUCUAAUAGGUGUAUACCUAAUGACAAUCAAAAACUAACCAAUACUGGAUAGCUUCAGCAUGUCCACAGAUAACAGUAAUUUCUUGAACUAGUGAUCCAUGAAAAGAACAACUUUUUCAUUUUCCUUUCUCAAAGAAAACCAUAUGAGAAUAUGAGCUUAUGGCAAGUGGAUCCUAUUAAAGCAUCAUGAACUCAGAUCAAGCAAAAUUUAAAUUAUUAUUUUUGCUCCUAUUCCAGUGAUAACCUCGUUUUCAACUCCGUUCUUACCCCUCCUAGUACUUACAUGUCAGCAUAGCACAACCUACUUAAUUGACAGAGAAUGAUACACAGAAAUUGAAAGGUACUCUUUCUUCUCCAAAAUGAAGUAAACACAAGCUGCCAGGAGUAGUUUAGGCAUUUCUAAAUGAAAUGAGAACCCAUCCCCAUGCUCAUGUUCCGCACUUCCGCCCAUAAUCAACCCCCAUAAAAACGACUAACAGAAAGUAGACCAUUUGAGGCAUCUGCUAAGUUAAUAAGAGGUCAAAAAUGAAACUUAAAACAAGUAACAGAUAUCGGGCAAGAAAAUUUUAUGGUUAUCCAGUAUAUAAUCCAAAAUCCAACUUAAAAAGCAGACAUAAACCCGUAGAUCAAUUACACUAAAUACAAUUUGUACUCCUGGAUAUACAUACAUUUUGCUAAUGCAUGAAAAUAACAAACUAAUGAAAGAAUAAACAAGUAGUAGCAGUUCAGAUAAAGUGUAUUUCUGUUCUCAUUCCUUUGCAAUAGGAAUGUUUCUUUAAAAAAAAGGCAAAUAUUCACAGGAACCUUGAGCCUUACAAGGACAAGUUACUUUAAGAAAAACUUACAUAUUAUGGCUAUCAAGUGACAGAACAAUCAAUUUAUUACUCUAGCAAAACCAUCAAAGCUAAAAUAUGGCAGCAAAUUUCACUUAUCAUAACCCCCAAUGAAAAAUGCAAAUGAAUGAAUGAAGCUUUAGUAAAAACCUUCUCCUGAAUUUGGUAGAUAUCCGUUUGAUGGCGCUUUCAUUUCAGCGAAAAAUCCACUUUAAUUGAAUUGCUUAUCUCCCAAAAGUAACAAACAAGAAUUUGUCCAACACAAAGCUACUUUCACUUAAUUCCAGCUCAAAAAGCUUUUCACUUUCUCAACAUAGAAAUAGAAAUAGAAAAAUCUCCAUCAUUUUUAGUUACUAGCUCCAUAAUUGCAACACGGAAUUCCUAAAAUGCAAAUAUGCUUCUUUUUUUCCAUUGUCAAGAAAUCGCCACCAUUUUCCGGUGGCCGGACCUCCACAAAAGACUGCGUCUUUUCAACUAAUACUGCACCCCCACCAGAGAAACUUUUUUCCGUUUUUAAUCUCUGAUUACAAUUUCAGGAAGUGAUUGAGACUUAGAACCCACCAAGCGUCGCCGGAAAAUCAAGAACGAACAAAUAUGCUUCAAAAAAAUGGCUAUCCAAAAAUGGGAAGACAGAG